GGAGGAAAAGAAACCAACAGGGAUUGCCCUAGUAACGGCGAGUGAAGCGGCAACAGCUCAAAUUUGAAAUCUGGCUCUUUUAGAGUCCGAGUUGUAAUUUGCAGAGGGCGCUUUGGCUUUGGCAGCGGUCCAAGUUCCUUGGAACAGGACGUCACAGAGGGUGAGAAUCCCGUACGUGGUCGCUGGCUAUUGCCGUGUAAAGCCCCUUCGACGAGUCGAGUUGUUUGGGAAUGCAGCUCUAAAUGGGAGGUACAUUUCUUCUAAAGCUAAAUAUUGGCCAGAGACCGAUAGCGCACAAGUAGAGUGAUCGAAAGAUGAAAAGCACUUUGGAAAGAGAGUCAAACAGCACGUGAAAUUGUUGAAAGGGAAGCGCUUGCAGCCAGACUUGCUUGCAGUUGCUCAUCCGGGCUUUUGCCCGGUGCACUCUUCUGCAGGCAGGCCAGCAUCAGUUUGGGCGGUAGGAUAAAGGUCUCUGUCACGUACCUCUCUUCGGGGAGGCCUUAUAGGGGAGACGACAUACUACCAGCCUGGACUGAGGUCCGCGCAUCUGCUAGGAUGCUGGCGUAAUGGCUGUAAGCGGCCCGUCUUGAAACACGGACCAAGGAGUCUAACAUCUAUGCGAGUGUUUGGGUGUCAAGCCCGAGCGCGUAAUGAAAGUGAACGGAGGUAGGAACCCGCAAGGGUGCACUAUCGACCGAUCCUGAUGUCUUCGGAAGGAUUUGAGUAAGAGCAUGGCUGUUGGGACCCGAAAGAUGGUGAACUAUGCUUGAAUAGGGUGAAGCCAGAGGAAACUCUGGUGGAGGCUCGCAGCGGUUCUGACGUGCAAAUCGAUCGUCAAAUUUGGGCAUAGGGGCGAAAGACUAAUCGAACUAUCUAGUAG
rnacentral:rRNA from 1 species